GGGGGGGAUUAAGGCGAAGUUAACCUGCGUGAGGGGGAGAUUGUAUUGGUAACGAGCCUUACCCAUAAAAUAAGAUAUGUCAUGACACUUUCUUUUAAAAUGCGCUUGCGUAUCUCUACCAUAUACCCGUGUGUUAUUUUCUCGGUGGGGGGGGAACGGCUCACCGCAAGGAAAAUACACAUAAACAACCUAGGAGGGUGAGCCACCAUGCCACUGCUGCUACGCCCAGACUACUACUACAGGGGGAACAGGAAAUCUUAUUAAGAAUCGGAAGUCUGACCGAACAACCCCCCGCGAGUGAGAAGGAAGGGCUUCGUAUCGUUCUGUUGGUUGAUAAGAACGAAUGGGAGAGUGGAGAGGACACACUGUACUGCUAUCUUCCCACAAAAACACCGCUACGGAUAUCUCCGCACCCGCAGCCUACUUACGUGCCAAGCCCUGACCGGAUAUCGUGUGCGUGAAGCGUGCGCCCGGGCGGAAGAUAAGUCCGAACCUAAAAGUUCUGAGUUAGCCAUUGUACCCUUUGGAACCUGUUUAACCUUGAGUGCAUUAGGGGCAGAGGAAUUCAAUGUGAUUCGGUGAAAUGCCUUCAUAUAUGGAGGAACACCGGAGGGAGAACAACUGUCUCUGGCUGCUCCUGACGCUGAGCCUCAAAAGCGAGGUCAGCAAACAUGUUUAACU
rnacentral:rRNA from 1 species